CCUACGGGUGGCAGCAGUGGGGAAUAUUGCACAAUGGGCGCAAGCCUGAUGCAGCCAUGCCGCGUGUGUGAAGAAGGCCUUCGGGUUGUAAAGCACUUUCAGCGGGGAGGAAGGCGGUGAGGUUAAUAACCUCAUCGAUUGACGUUACCCGCAGAAGAAGCACCGGCUAACUCCGUGCCAGCAGCCGCGGUAAUACGGAGGGUGCAAGCGUUAAUCGGAAUUACUGGGCGUAAAGCGCACGCAGGCGGUCUGUCAAGUCGGAUGUGAAAUCCCCGGGCUCAACCUGGGAACUGCAUUCGAAACUGGCAGGCUAGAGUCUUGUAAAGGGGGGUAGAAUUCCAGGUGUAGCGGUGAAAUGCGUAGAGAUCUGGAGGAAUACCGGUGGCGAAGGCGGCCCCCUGGACAAAGACUGACGCUCAGGUGCGAAAGCGUGGGGAGCAAACAGGAUUAGAUACCCCAGUAGUC
rnacentral:rRNA from 1 species